rnacentral:rRNA from 1 species
CGGGAUUUCUGUUGAUCCCUGCGAGGAUAGCCUCGGGAAACCGGGAUUAAAACUCAUAACGCGCGACCGGGACAUCCCGGGACGCGCCCAAAGAUUUAUCGGCCCGGGGAUGGGCCUGCGUCUGAUUAGUUAGUUGGUGGGGUAACGGCCUACCAAGGCGACGAUCAGUAGCCGACCUGAGAGGGUGAUCGGCCACAUUGGAACUGAGACACGGUCCAAACUCCUACGGGAGGCAGCAGUGGGGAAUAUUGCACAAUGGGCGAAAGCCUGAUGCAGCAACGCCGCGUGAAGGAUGAAGGCCCUUGGGUCGUAAACUUCUGUUCUAAGGGAAGAUAAUGACGGUACCUUAGGAGCAAGUCCCGGCUAACUACGUGCCAGCAGCCGCGGUAAUACGUAGGGGGCGAGCGUUAUCCGGAAUUAUUGGGCGUAAAGAGUACGUAGGCGGGAGCUUAAGCGCAGGGUUUAAGGCAAUGGCUUAACCAUUGUAUGCCCUGUGAACUGGGCUUCUUGAGUGCAGGAGGGGAAAGCGGAAUUCCUAGUGUAGCGGUGAAAUGCGUAGAUAUUAGGAGGAACACCAGUGGCGAAGGCGGCUUUCUGGACUGUAACUGACGCUGAGGUACGAAAGUGUGGGGAGCAAACAGGAUUAGAUACCCUGGUAGUCCACACCGUAA